rnacentral:tRNA from 1 species
GCCUUCGUGGUGUAAUGGUCAGCACGCUCGGUGCAUGUUUGAGAGGUCCGUGGUUCGAGUCCCGGCGAGCGCA